UUUAUUUUAUUAUUAUUAUUAUUAUUAUUAUUAAUAUUUAUUUAUAUAUACUUUGUUUUCUCUGUCAAAUUAUUACAGAACCAACGAACCUUUCCCUCUUUUAUUUUAUUUUUUUGAUAAUCAUAAAAUCAAAUCAAUUUUCGUUUCGCUUCUCACACUUCCCGGAACCUUCUCUUCACUCCUUUCACCAAUUUUCCGUUGCCAUGGUUUCUCUCUAUCACAUCAUUUUCAUCUUUUUCAUUUCAUAUACUCCUAUAUGAUUUAUGAACCCACCUUUCCUCUUUCCUCUUAUUAUAAUUAA